rnacentral:rRNA from 1 species
AUUGAACGCUGGCGGCAGGCCUAACACAUGCAAGUCGAGCGGAGCGGCGGACGGGUGAGUAAGGCCUAGGAAUCUGCCUGGUAGUGGUGGAUAACGUUCGGAAAUGGGCGCUAAUACCGCAUCCUAUCCGAUGAGCCUAGGUGGGAUUGGCUAGUUGGUGGGGUAAAGGCCUACCAAGGCGACGAUCCGUACCUGGUCUGAGAGGAUGAUCAGCCACACUGGAACUGAGACACGGUCCAGACUCCUACGGGAGGCAGCAGUGGGGAAUAUUGGACAAUGGGCGAAAGCCUGAUCCAGCCAUGCCGCGUGUGUGAAGAAGGUCUUCGGGUUGUAAAGCACUUUAAGUUGGGAGGCGUUACCAGCAGAAUAAGCACCGGCUAACUUCGUGCCAGCAGCCGCGGUAAUAC